GCUAUUAUAUUUCAGUGUUUCUUUAUGUGCAGAUAAAUGCUCCAGGAUCUACAUCUGUUUCAAGUUCUGAAGAGGUGCUGGCUUGUGGAGAUGAAGGGUGUAGUGACUCUCAGCAGGAGAAGGGAUGCACAGCUGUGAAUUGUGAGGGAUUAAACAAAGGUGUCAGGAACGGACGGAAGGGCAAAGCAGAAUCAGAUGAACUGCAUCCAUCGGCUGUGGGGAAGCAUGUAAGCCCUGAUGUGGUGGUCAUGGUAACACCGGGAGCACAGAGAUGCAGGAGUGGCAUCAGGGCCGGUGCAGCCUCUGAUCGGCCUCAGUCGCGUCCCCGUGUCUGCGAACCGUCCUCAGGAACCCCCCGUCCGAGACGCCCCCUCCCUUCCCGCCACGUCCCCGUGGCAUCGCGGGAGGAGCCUGGCAGAGGAGGGGGGGCGGGGGGGUGCACGACGCUUCGCGGCUCGCGGGGGAAAGGAGGGAGCAGGAGAGAGGGGCCAGCUCGGGCUGGGAAUACAGAGCCCGGGCCAAGCCUGCCUUCUAGAAGCUUCUCUGAGAAGGAGACCCCGAGCAGGGUCCCAUCAGCGAGGACCCGUGUGAAACAGAGGGAGGGAAAACUGGGCCACAAACCAGAGUCUGAGCCAAAGCCCAACACUAAACACACAGCCCA